GGAUAACCUGCCCUAUGCUCCGGGAUAACCUCGGGAAACUGAGAAGAAUACCGGAUAGACCACAACGCCUGGAACGGUGUGUGGUUGAAAGGUCACGGCAUAGGAUGGGUCUGCGGCGUAUCAGGUCGUAGGGGGUGUAACGGACCUCCUAGCCAUCGACGCGUACGGGUUGUGGGAGCAAUAGCCCGGAGAUGGAUUCUGAGACACGAAUCCAGACCCUACGGGGUGCAGCAGGCGCGAAAACUUCACACUGCAGGAAACUGUGAUGAGGGAACUCCAAGUGACUGCACAUUGUGUAGCCUUUUCUUUACUAUUAAUCGGUAUUGGAAUAAGGGCUGGGAAAGACCGGUGCCAGCCGCCGCGGUAAUACCGGCAGCUCAAGUGGUCGUCGCUUUUAUUGGGCCUAAAACGUCCGUAGCCUGUUUGGUAAAUCUGUGGGUAAAUCAACCAGCUUAACUGGUUGAAUUCUGCAGAGACUGCCAGACUAGGGACCGGGAGAGGUGUGGGGUACUCUAGGGGUAGGGGUAAAAUCCUGUCAUCCCUAGAGGACCACCAGUUGCGAAGGCGCCACACUGGAACGGAUCCGACGGUCAGGGACGAAGCCUAGGGGCACGAACCGGAUUAGAUACCCGGGUAGUCCUAGGUGGUAACGCUGUGAACUUGGUGUCGGGAGUCCCGCAUGGGCCCCCGGUGCCGGAGUGAAGAUGUUAAGUUCACUGCCUGGGGAGUACGGUCGCAAGGCUGAAACUU
rnacentral:rRNA from 1 species